ACGAACGCUGGCGGCGCGCCUAACACAUGCAAGUCGAACGAGCGAGAGAGAGCUUGCUUUCUCAAGCGAGUGGCGAACGGGUGAGUAACGCGUGAGGAACCUGCCUCAAAGAGGGGGACAACAGUUGGAAACGACUGCUAAUCCCGCAUAAGCCCACGGCUCGGCAUCGAGCAGAGGGAAAAGGAGCAAUCCGCUUUGAGAUGGCCUCGCGUCCGAUUAGCUAGUUGGUGAGGUAACGGCCCACCAAGGCAACGAUCGGUAGCCGGACUGAGAGGUUGAACGGCCACAUUGGGACUGAGACACGGCCCAGACUCCUACGGGAGGCAGCAGUGGGGAAUAUUGCACAAUGGGGGAAACCCUGAUGCAGCGACGCCGCGUGGAGGAAGAAGGUCUUCGGAUUGUAAACUCCUGUUGUUGAGGAAGAUAAUGACGGUACUCAACAAGGAAGUGACGGCUAACUACGUGCCAGCAGCCGCGGUAAAACGUAGGUCACAAGCGUUGUCCGGAAUUACUGGGUGUAAAGGGAGCGCAGGCGGGAAGACAAGUUGGAAGUGAAAUCUAUGGGCUCAACCCAUAAACUGCUUUCAAAACUGUUUUUCUUGAGUAGUGCAGAGGUAGGCGGAAUUCCCGGUGUAGCGGUGGAAUGCGUAGAUAUCGGGAGGAACACCAGUGGCGAAGGCGGCCUACUGGGCACCAACUGACGCUGAGGCUCGAAAGUGUGGGUAGCAAACAGGAUUAGAUACCCUGGUAGUCCACACCGUAAACGAUGAUUACUAGGUGUUGGAGGAUUGACCCCUUCAGUGCCGCAGUUAACACAAUAAGUAAUCCACCUGGGGAGUACGACCGCAAGGUUGAAACUCAAAGGAAUUGACGGGGGCCCGCACAAGCAGUGGAGUAUGUGGUUUAAUUCGACGCAACGCGAAGAACCUUACCAAGUCUUGACAUCCUGCGACGCACAUAGAAAUAUGUGUUUCCUUCGGGACGCAGAGACAGGUGGUGCAUGGUUGUCGUCAGCUCGUGUCGUGAGAUGUUGGGUUAAGUCCCGCAACGAGCGCAACCCUUACUGUCAGUUACUACGCAAGAGGACUCUGGCAGGACUGCCGUUGACAAAACGGAGGAAGGUGGGGAUGACGUCAAAUCAUCAUGCCCUUUAUGACUUGGGCUACACACGUACUACAAUGGCUAUAACAAAGAGAAGCGAGACAGUGAUGUGGAGCAAAACUCAAAAAAAUAGUCUCAGUUCGGAUUGAAGGCUGAAAUUCGCCUUCAUGAAGCCGGAAUUGCUAGUAAUGGCAGGUCAGCAUACUGCCGUGAAUACGUUCCCGGGCCUUGUACACACCGCCCGUCACACCAUGAGAGUUGGAAAUACCCGAAGCCUGUGAGCCAACUAAUUUAUUAGAGGCAGCAGUCGAAGGUAGAAUCAAUGAUUGGGGUG
rnacentral:rRNA from 1 species